rnacentral:tRNA from 1 species
CGCGGGGCGGAGCAGCCCGGUAGCUCGCGAGGCUCAUAACCUCGAGGUCGCAGGUUCGAAUCCUGUCCCCGCAA